rnacentral:rRNA from 1 species
GGCGACGAUCAGUAACUGGUCUGAGAGGAUGACCAGUCACACUGGGACUGAGACACGGCCCAGACUCCUACGGAAGGCAGCAGUGGGGAAUUUUCCGCAAUGGGCGAAAGCCUGACGGAGCAAUACCGCGUGAGGGAGGAAGGCUCUUGGGUUGUAAACCUCUUUUCUCAGGGAAGAACACAAUGACGGUACCUGAGGAAUCAGCAUCGGCUAACUCCGUGCCAGCAGCCGCGGUAAUACGGAGGAUGCAAGCGUUAUCCGGAAUGAUUGGGCGUAAAGCGUCCGCAGGUGGCUUAUCAAGUCGAUUGUCAAAGGUCCUGGCUCAACUGGGAACAGGCAGUGGAAACUGAAAAGCUAGAGUGCGGUAGGGGUAGAGGGAAUUCCCGGUGUAGCGGUGAAAUGCGUAGAGAUCGGGAAGAACACCAGUGGCGAAAGCGCUCUACUAGGCCUGCACUGACACUCAGGGACGAAAGCUAGGGGAGCGAAUGGGAUUAGAUACCCCAGUAGUCCUAGCCGUAAACGAUGGAUACUAGGCGUUGAGAGUAUCGACCCUCUCAGUGCCGUAGCUAACGCGUUAAGUAUCCCGCCUGGGGAGUACGCACGCAAGUGUGAAACUCAAAGGAAUUGACGGGGGCCCGCACAAGCGGUGGAGUAUGUGGUUUAAUUCGAUGCAACGCGAAGAACCUUACCAGGGCUUGACAUGUCCGGAACCUCUGGGAAACCAGGGGGUGCCUUCGGGAGCCGGAACACAGGUGGUGCAUGGCUGUCGUCAGCUCGUGUCGUGAGAUGUUGGGUUAAUUUACGCAAGCGAGCGCAACCCUCGUGCUUAGUUGCCAUCAUUAAGUUGGGAACUCUAAGCAGACUGCCGGUGACAAACCGGAGGAAGGUGGGGAUGACGUCAAGUCAGCAUGCCCCUUACGCUCUGGGCUACACACG